rnacentral:rRNA from 1 species
CCCCCUGGCUGGGCGGUUGGUGACCAGCGGAGGGAUCAUUAUAGAGUUUUCUAAACUCCCAACCCAUGUGAACUUACUUUUUGUUGCCUCGGCAGAAGUUAUAGGUCUUCUUAUAGCUGCUGCCGGUGGACCAUUAAACUCUUGUUAUUUUAUGUAAUCUGAGCGUCUUAUUUUAAUAAGUCAAAACUUUCAACAACGGAUCUCUUGGUUCUGGCAUCGAUGAAGAACGCAGCGAAAUGCGAUAAGUAAUGUGAAUUGCAGAAUUCAGUGAAUCAUCGAAUCUUUGAACGCACAUUGCGCCCAUUAGUAUUCUAGUGGGCAUGCCUGUUCGAGCGUCAUUUCAACCCUUAAGCCUAGCUUAGUGUUGGGAAUCUACUUCUUUUAUUAGUUGUAGUUCCUGAAAUACAACGGCGGAUUUGUAGUAUCCUCUGAGCGUAGUAAUUUUUUUUCUCGCUUUUGUUAGGUGCUAUAACUCCCAGCCGCUAAACCCCCAAUUUUUUGUGGUUGACCUCGGAUCAGGUAGGAAUACCCGCUGAACUUAAGCAUAUCAAUAAGCGGAGGAA